CUGCCGCAAAAAAAGGAAACCUAUUGGUCUGAGGUUAAACCUAAAUCCGCAUCCGCGGAGAAACCUAAAUCUCUUUCGGCUGAAAACCAGAGUUCUUCAACUGUCUUUCUCUCUCUAUUCUCAUCUCAAUCGUCCAGGCUUCAAACACCUAAUGAUGUGCUUCCAAUCCAGAGAUCGUCUAGGCUUCAAGGUGAAGGUUUAUCAGUUCUAACGUGAUUUAGGGUUUAUUCCUGUGUUAUGAAAGCCUUUAGGGUUUGUGAACAAUUAGAUCAUAUACUCUUUUGGCUCAAGUUUUGGAAUUGUUCAACCAAUGCCCACAAGUCACAAAUUGGAAGUCUUUCAAGGUAUCACUUCUAUUAAAUACAAUGGACUGCCUAUUCCAUGUUUUCUCAACAGUGUGAGGCGACAAAAGGCUAGAGAUAGUGGAUAACAAUGACGGAAACAGUAGAGAUUUCAAAAAAAAAAUAAUCAAAUUGGAUAUUGCAGGAAAGAGACAAGUGCUGCUAGCCAGGUUUGUGUGAAUGUGUAUAUGGGUUCUGGUGGAUGUGUUGGGAUGUUCGAAUUGAAGAAGUUAGGAUUGUAUUUCAGCUAACCAAAUCAAAUUCUCACUGAUCAAUUGAAGUAUACUUCUCUCCCUAAUUGUCUACAACCUGUCCCUCUCUCUAUUUUCCUCUCGAGUUUUCUUCUCCAGCGGAAACCAUGUAAUCUUUUAUCUUUCAUUACCAUCUAUAUCCGACCAGUAAAGUCACAAUAUGUAGAUGUAGUAAAGAGAUUCUGAUGUUUUACUUUUUUUAGGAAUAAUAGUGUGUUAAAGGAGCUGGAAGUGGUACAGGUUAUAUGGAAAAUGGUGGUUUGAUACUGGAACUGGUGUGGGCUGCGGGGGUGAAUUUAUAUACGGAUGUAGUGCUGAUGGUGGUAUAAGGGUACAGGUUACAUUUGAUUUCUUAUAGUCAAAUAUUAUUAAUUGAUUUUUAAACUUGUUCUAAUUACAUAAUUUUUUACUUCUUUAAUUAAUGCAAUGCAAAUAUUAUUUGAGAAGAUAUUUUUGAGUCUGGUACGAUCUUUUACGAAUCUCAAGGUGGUUGCUGGAGGCUUAUCGACACAGAAGAGGCCUUCGAUAUUCUUUUAUAUCUCUUGACAUACGUGGAAUUGGGGAAUCACAUUUGCACUCAAUGUUGCAAAAAUGGAGGUAUCACAUAAGAUGCAGUUAGAAGGAAUUCCAAAUGCAGGGACCAUGUGAACCCAGCUGAAGAUUGAAUUCGAACUGAAGUUUCUAAAAUAUUUUCAAGUCCUGAACAUUUUACAGUGAACUGAAAGUUCUUUAAUGAGAAAGUUUUCUGCGUAGUCUUUGGAUCCUCUACUAAUCCACUUAACAUCCUUAUCCUUGUGUGGAUAUCUAAGAAUUUGAGACGUUUAUUUUUUGGACAUGAGAUGCAAAUGUAAUGAGUGACUUCUUUCCUAGAAUGGUUCUACAUUUCUCUAACAACAACGGAGCACAACUGUUGUACUUGAGAAUUGUAUAGGAACUGCUGUAAUUGUUGUUACGGACACAUGAUAAGUUCAAAUUAACAGAUGCAUGAUGUCCAUUGCAUAGAUUGGCAAGCAUAGUUACAUAUGCAUUAGCCACAGACGCGAAAGCAUUAACUCCA